rnacentral:rRNA from 1 species
UACGAAGGGGGCUAGCGUUGCUCGGAAUGACUGGGCGUAAAGGGCGCGUAGGCGGUUUGGACAGUCAGGCGUGAAAUUCCUGGGCUUAACCUGGGGGCUGCGCUUGAUACAUCCAGACUUGAGUGGGGAAGAGGGUCGUGGAAUUCCCAGUGUAGAGGUGAAAUUCGUAGAUAUUGGGAAGAACACCGGUGGCGAAGGCGGCAACCUGGUCCUUGACUGACGCUGAGGCGCGAAAGCGUGGGGAGCAAACAGG